UAUUCGCUUUACUAUAUUUUUAUUCCUAAUUUAACUGUCUAGCUUUUUUAUAUUAAUUAUAACUGAAAGUCUGGAAGAAGGAUUAAUAGGAGCUUAUGUUUUUUCUUCAGAGGAGCUUCAUUUAUUUAAAGAAAUGGGUUGAUUUUUACCCAACUAAUUGACUUAACCAAUGUCAGUUUCUAAAUUUAAACAUGAAAAAUGAAUUUCAUGUUGGAUUCUUUGAAUUUAGUCAAUUAAUGUUAAUAAUUUGUAUUCAGAAAUAAUUAUGGUAAAUGAAAUUAUUUUACAAAUAAGUAAAGAAGAGGUGUUUCUAAUAUCUAAAAGCACUCUGCGCUGAAAAAAAGCAAAUACUUUUCAAAAGUACAGAUACAAUUUUGACAAUAUAUUUUAAAUUAUUUGCUUUCUUCUUUCCAUUCCUGCAACUUCCGCUUUUACGGAAUGAUUUUUUUCCGUAAUGAAUGUAAAAUGUAAAAAAGAAAGAAAUAGAGCAUAUUUUAAUUUAAUUAAAAAUGAAUUUUUAGUUUAGUUUAAUAUGAAUCUAUGUUGCUCAGAUUUCUAUAAUUAUUUUAUAUAUCAUUGAUGGUCAAAGUGAAGAGCAGUAACAAAUAUAUAUGGAAAAAUACAUAAUGAUUAAAAAUAUAUUUGUACUUUUUUCUUGAAUUUCCCAAAAGUACGAUAUUUUUACAUCUUUUUGGGAAAAAUACUAUAUUUGUACAAAACAAGGUGAUAACCGUACCUCUAACUUUAGAGGUCAGGAGACCAAAUGCCGUUAUCAGCAAUCACAAUAAGAAAUUCAAAUUACACCUUAAUUAAAAUGAAGGUGUUAAUUAUAACGGGAAGCAUCCAAUUAGUCGUUAUAUGAUGCAUAAUAUAUAAUAUUUCCAAGUGUUUUUCCAUGGUUAACACAGUACAACUGGAAGAACGAUGAACACGCGACCCGACGCGACACGACAACAAUAAAAAUAAAAAUGUAAAUAAUCAUAAACUAUAGUAACAAUAGUCUACGCAUGAUGGAUAAUCUCCUGUAAUCUUAAAAAGAGAGUGCUCUGCCCAAUAAGUAUGUGGCUUGCUAAAAGUAUAACGCGAACUGCGUAAAAGAUAGUGUGUGUUGGUUUUAUAAAUUUUGAAAUAAAACUGAGGUAAUAAAAGGAGUUGGAUAGUUUACUAUAUUAAACUCUAAGAGAAAAGAUACAAAAUAAAGCUUCAAUUAUCUUCAAUAAAUGUCGUUUCAAAAAUAUGUAUACAUCUAUGACAUAAACACUUGCCGCGUAUUAUGGAGGGUAGAAUUUGAUAACCGAAAAUUCCGAAAUUGAUGCGAAGUCCCUCAUCGUGCAGUAUAUGAAUACGUUUUCCAAUCUUUACUAGUGAUGUUGAUGUUUUUUAGACUCAUUCGCAUGAAAUUUAUGCUCCUAUAUCUAGUAUAAUUAUGAAACUAUAUUUAUUCCGUAUCUAUACCAUUAAUACUACUACGCGAUUGGGCGAGUUGCCGCUUCCAAUUAUCGAUUUGUGCGUCUAAACAAUGUGUAUCCGUUGAGAAGCAUGCACGUGAUAAUCAAUGCAUUGAUUCCCGACAGCUCUUAAGCAUGCCUGCAGGCAGAGACCGAUCGAUGGUCGACAAUCUUUGUACUAAACGCCGAGGGUAAUAAUCAUACCAUGAGUGACACAUAUUUGCCGCUUAACAAUAGGAGUUCCAGGAUUCUUGAGUAAAAUGAAGACUGUUGCAGAGGAUUCCCGGAUAAAAGAAGUAGGCUUCUAGAUGAUAGACGGGGUUAGUUAGCCAGUCAGUUAGUUUAUGGGUAGCUGAGCAGUAAUAUAAAUAAGCAGUGUGAAUACAGGCUGAUAUCUGAUAUAAAUACAUUGACUAGUACAUAUUAAGCAUUACAAAUACAGUGUGAU